rnacentral:rRNA from 1 species
GAUGAACGCUGGCGGCGUGCCUAAUACAUGCAAGUCGAGCGAACGGACGAGAAGCUUGCUUCUCUGAUGUUAGCGGCGGACGGGUGAGUAACACGUGGAUAACCUACCUAUAAGACUGGGAUAACUUCGGGAAACCGGAGCUAAUACCGGAUGAUAUUUUGAACCGCAUGGUUCAAAAGUGAAAGACGGUCUUGCUGUCACUUAUAGAUGGAUCCGCGCUGCAUUAGCUAGUUGGUAAGGUAACGGCUUACCAAGGCAACGAUGCAUAGCCGACCUGAGAGGGUGAUCGGCCACAUUGGAACUGAGACACGGUCCAGACUCCUACGGGAGGCAGCAGUAGGGAAUCUUCCGCAAUGGGCGAAAGCCUGACGGAGCAACGCCGCGUGAGUGAUGAAGGUCUUCGGAUCGUAAAACUCUGUUAUUAGGGAAGAACAUAUGUGUAAGUAACUGUGCACAUCUUGACGGUACCUAAUCAGAAGGCCACGGCUAACUACGUG